AUGUCAGAACUUCCCUGGGUCCCGGAAAGGACGGAAGUGAGGAGGAGUGUCCCAACCCUCGAGCCUUCCCCUCGCCGCCGGAGCCGCCGCCAGGAAGAAAGGUCUCCGCCGAGGACAGCCCGGAAGAGGUGCGGGGUCGCGGACUCCCUGAAAGUGGGCCGCACCCGGGCUCUGGCGCCGUCUCCUCCCCGCGACUCUCCCCAGCUGGAGGCCCGUCCCUGGCGCGGGCGGGACGCCGGGACCGGCCCCAGGAGGGGAGGGUCUCGCACUGCACACCUUGGACGCGUUUGGAAUUCGACCCUGCCUGCCCUGGGAGAAUUCGGGAUGAGAAGGAAAGGCUCUCCCUGGACGCUGUCGCUUUCCCCGAAACGAGUCCUCAAGGCCGUUCCCUGCGCUCUUUCCCUGGGACUUGGCGCGCCGCAGCCGCUCUGGGAACCUCGCAAGGCCCUCCGGGGACCCGGGAAGAGGGGCGGUGAUUAAGGAACUCUACCCCACACAGUGCGCAGAUCUGAACGUAACGGUUUGUUGUCAGCGGAGACCCAUCCUCUGGGUACGAAGAGAUUAUCCCAAGGAGUUACUGUUUUGCAACCUGAGACUGGGGAAAGAGGACUUUGCUGGAGAGCGGCGGGGAUCCACGACAGCUGGGUUGGGACGCAGUCUACCAAGAGCCAGCGUUACCCAUAAGGAGCCCAAGAAAAUGGGUUCCGUGAAUCUGACUUCACUUGUCUUCUUGUGUCAGUGGUUUUCUGAGGCAAGCCAGAGCUCUCCCUUGUCCAGUGUGGGCCGUGUUCUUAUGAAUUAGACUUGAGGCUGUCAGGCUUUCUCUGUAACAGAAAACAAACUUUGUGCCCCCUUGGAGUUCUUUGCCAUUGGGACCCAGGUUCAUUUCUUCCUGAAAACCUGGCGCUCCAGAGCCAGUCUCCCAAAGCACAUUUAUGAGAAAGUAAAUCCCCCCACCCUUCUCCCAACCGUCUUGCAGGCCACUCCACCCCUCUAGAACCUUGGCAGUGAAGCUAACAGAGGCGGGGAGCUGGCCCCACUUCAGUAAACUCUAGGAUAAGAGGAUUCAGCGCAGCGCACGUGAAACAACUUUUGUGAAGUUCCCACGUGCGCGCAUUGGGAUGAACCCGGCCCAAAAUGAAGACGCCGCCAUACUCCCUAGCAACCAUUCAUUCAAUGCACAUAUUAAAGCCAAGCGCUGUGCUUAAGCGUUGUAGCCCAUCAGCGACCUACACAGAUUUGGAUCUUGCCCAUUUUAAUUGCAUAAACAGACAGGAUGCAAACUGCUGACCACGAGAGACAUAGGGCAGAAAUGCCUAUAGGAAGUGAAUGUUUAAAUGUGCCAGCAUGAGCAUUUGUGUCCACAAAUAGAGUGAUUUUGUUCUCUUAUAUAGUCAAGGAGCUGCUUCUCAGAAUCCAUCUAUUUACUCACUAUGUGUGUAUUUGAGUUCUCAAGGUAUGAAAGAAAAUCAGAGUGGAAAAAGAGGGGGAAAAAUCCCUCUUUGAACUUAGAAUCCCAGAAAGUCAAAGCUUGGAGUUCAAAACCUUGAAAUUUGUUUUAAGGGCUGUAGGCCAGGUUUUCAACUUCAAUUGGUAGAGAGGAAUGGAUAAGAUAUUGAAAAACAAAACACCAAACAUAAAAAGGAACAGGAACGUGUUCUGUGGAGGAUUGCAAAUGGCUUGUCUUACCAGGGCCCUUGAGCCACAGGUUAGGCAGAAAAAGGCAAGGCUUGGGGCGCCUGGGUGGCGCAGUCGGUUAAGCGUCCGACUUCAGCCAGGUCACGAUCUCACGGUCCGUGAGUUUGAGCCCCGCGUCGGGCUCUGGGCUGAUGGCUCAGAGCCUGGAGCCUGUUUCCGAUUCUGUGUCUCCCUCUCUCUCUGCCCCUCCCCCGUUCAUGCUCUGUCUCUCUCUGUCCCAAAAAUAAAUAAACGUUGAAAAAAAAACUAAAAAAAGAA
ensembl:lncRNA